UACGGAGGGUGCAAGCGUUGUCCGGAAUCACUGGGCGUAAAGGGCGCGUAGGCGGCUCAUGAAGGCUGUGGUGAAAGUCCGGGGCUCAACCUCGGAUCGGCCGUGGCGACUCGUGGGCUGGAGCACUGUAGAGGCGGGUGGAAUUCCGGGUGUAGCGGUGGAAUGCGUAGAGAUGCGGAGGAACACCAGUGGCGAAGGCGGCCCGCUGGGCAGGGGCUGACGCUGAGGCGCGACAGCGUGGGGAGCAAACAGG
rnacentral:rRNA from 1 species